rnacentral:lncRNA from 1 species
AUGGAUGAGGAUUUCAAUGUUGAAUAUUUUAAUCAAGUACCGAUUGUUUUACAAAUAGCUGUUGAUCAAUUAAGUGAUGAGGAUUUCAAUGUUGAAUAUUUUAAUCAAGUACCGAAUGCUUUACAAAUAGCUGUUGAUCAAUUAAGUGAAAUUCCAAUCUCCAUUCCAAUAAAUUUACAUUUUACAGAGCAAAAUGAAAACGUCCUAGAACUUGACACCUUACAACUCAUAAAUGAUGCCCUCGAAAACCUUAAUGCAGUUAAUGCAGUAGAGUUUGAAAAUCAUUCUCCUUCAUCAGCUCUCCACACGCAAAGUGAUCAUGUCUUACACGCGGUAACAAUCAGAUCAGAGACGGAUUCAGCCGAGACACAAUCGGCUCUUCCUAACCCCCCUCCUGAACAGGAUGAGAGGCCAGGAGAAGGGGGGUCAGAGAGCAGCCCCUCAGCCCAUCUUUCUCCUCAGCAAGGGGGAGGAGGGCUAGGAGAAAAUCCAUCCGAUCUCUCUCCUGAGCGGGGUGAGAGGUUUUUUAAUGAUUUUAUCACAUGGAGAACAAGACGCUCCUUUAACAUUCCCACUCGGGGAAAUGUGCCUGACAUUGCAACAUUCUAUCGAGAUGUAACAGGGGUUAUCAGCGAAUUGGUGGAUGUUGCCAGACGACAUAGUAGUCGCAAUGAUUUAAUACAGUUGGAGGUGGUGGGUGAAAACGUACACAAUCAUGUUACAGUUGCUGUGGAUGAACAAGGUGAAAAUAUUCUACCGGCUUUUAAUGGAAUGCUAGAUCGGAUUGUGCAGUCAAACGGUAUCAUUUCAUCGGAUGAGAAUAUAGAAUUCAUCCUUCACGUGGUGCAGAACCCAGGAGGAGGUGCCAAACGUAAGAUGGAGAAAACUCUAGACUGUGAAAUCAUUGACAAAAAAAGACGUCACUUAUUUAUCGUAGACAACAGAGACAACCAGCUUUGCUUCGCCAUCAGUCUAGCUCACGUUAUCUACCCGAAACUUACUGAAAGAGAAUGCCUUGAUAUUGCGAGGAAGUUGCAGCAUCAGGCUGGUUUAAAUGAUGAGACCCCCGUCACUUUCAGUGACAUUGGUAAAUUUGAAAAUAUUCUGGGGCGUAAAAUUGUUGUGUUUUACAGAACAUGCCACAGUAAACCCCUCUCACAUUAUGAGACAAAAUUCUCUGAUCGUUCCAAUCAGUUGUUUCUCUUUUUACUACAAAAUCACUAUUAUGGGAUAAAAAAUCUCAAAGCCUUCCUGGGGUCGUCAGUCUGUAAUUAUUGUUACAAGACUUUUAAGCACCCCUAUACCCACUUUUGUAAAGGUUACUGCGCAGUGUGCAACGAUCCUGCCUGCCCCACAGAAGGGUUCAACAUAGUGGUUUGCUCUGACUGUAACAGAACGUGUCGCUCACCCUCUUGUUUCACCAGACACAAAUUGGUCGGUUCAAGCAGAAAGUCCAGCCUCUGCGACCAAAUCAAAAAAUGCGCACGAUGCGAACUAUACUACAGUGUCAAUUUGUCGUUAGACGAUGCAAAGCAUCGCUGUGCGGUGAAAAAAUGUAAAAUCUGUGGUGAAAAACUGCAGAGCGACUCUAAAGUCGAUCAUAGUUGUUACAUUCCUACCCUCCAACCAGACAUCUCACAUCCUGAUUUGGUUUUUUAUGAUUUUGAAACAUUUGUGGGUCAAAAUGGAGAGCAUGUUCCUUUUUUAGUGCAUACAAAAACAUCCAAAGGUGAAGAGAAGGCGUUUUAUGGUCUUGACUGUGCUAAAAUGUUUAUUUUGCAUUUCAGGAAGCCACGAUACAAACAGAACAUCUUUAUAGCCCAUAAUGCCAAGGGGUUUGACAGUUAUCUGGUGUUAAAAGGUAUGUUGGAACUGGAUGUGACGCCACAACAGAUUCUGAUGAACGGGAGUAAAAUCCUCAGUUUUGAGGAAUCCCAUUAUGGUCUCAAAUUCAUAGAUUCCCUGUCAUUUCUCCCCAUGCAUCUCAGCGCUAUGCCCAAAGCCUUAGGAUUCACUGACAAGACCAAGGGGUAUUUCCCACACAAAUUUAGCUCAGAAAUUCACCUCAAUUACGUGGGGCCCUAUCCCGUUCCGUCCGACUACGACGUAGAUCGCAUGACGGUGCGCGAACGGGAAGAAUUUGACCCGUGGUACAACGAGGUCAGCCGCGGUACCUUUGACUUCAAAAAGGAGGCCUCGCUGUACUGCAAAAAUGAUGUUGACAUUCUCACCCAGGGCAGUCUUAAAUUUAGAGAUCAGUUCCUAGGUGAGACGGGGGUAGACCCUUUUGGUUCUAUCGCCAUAGCCGGAGCCUGUAUGAAGGUGUUUCGCACCAAUUAUCUGACUCCUAACACUCUGGCUAUCCCCUGCCCUCACAACUAUUUGAAUCAGAGCAAAAGAUUCUCUAGCGCAUCGGUUCAAUGGUUAGAAUGGUUGAUGCACAAAGAAAAAAUCUUUAUACAGCAUGCUCUAAACAUGGGUGAAAAACAGAUUGGUGCAUUUUUCGUAGACGGAUAUGCUGAGAUUGACGGUGUAAAACAUGUCUGGGAAUUUCAUGGAUGUUUUUACCACGGCUGUCCCAGUUGCUUUGAUCCCACAGUACAGUGCGAUAUGAGAGGCGUCACCUUUGGUGAACUGCACUACAAAAGUGAGAAGAGGGUGAGUGAGCUACAGACCACACAUGGGGUUCGUGUUGUAGUCAUGAGAGAACACACGUGGAACCAGAUGAAAACAACAUGCACGGAGGUUAAAGAAUUUCUCCGUUGCUUUAACGCUCCUGAGCCUCUCAACCCCCGAAAAGCACUUUUCGGAGGUAGAACGAGCGCUUUAAAACUGCGACACACGGCAGCGCCCGAUGAAACCAUCCACUAUGUUGAUGUCACCUCACUGUACCCGUUUGUCAACAGUACUUGCUCUUACCCCUUUGGUCACCCCGUGAUCAUCUACAAAGAUUUCGAGGACCCACGCAGCUACUACGGCUUCAUCAGAGCCACUGUGUAUCCUCCUCGAGGUCUUUUAUUCCCCGUGUUACCGCACAAAAGUGAGGGAGGUAAAUUACUCUUUACACUGUGUCGCACCUGUGCCGAAACUAACAAUGAGGGUGGUCCCUGCGAACACGACGAUGAGGGCAGAGCUCUGAUGGGGGUCUGGGUCACCGUUGAAUUCAUCAAAGCUCUGGAUGUGGGGUACAGGGUGGGUAAAAUUACAGAAGUCUGGCACUUUGACAAGAGCAGCGACACUGUGUUUACCGACUACAUACACACCUUUUUGAAAGGAAAGCAGGAAGCCUCGGGUUACCCCGCUGAGGCGACGGACCGAGAGAGCAGGGAAAAAUACAUCAGGGACUAUCAGGAGCAUCAGGGCAUUCUUUUAGAUGCUGGCAAAAUCGAGACCAAUCCUGUGAAAAGACAGGUUGCUAAAUUGUGUCUCAACAGUUUGUGGGGAAAGUUUGCACAGAGAGAUAAUUUGUUUAAAACCACCAUUGUCUCAGAUCCUAAAGAAUUCUUUAGUUACAUGUUUUCAGGUAAAUACAAAGUCGAAUACUUUUCCAUUCUCCACAGCAACAGAGCUCUCAUCAGGUGGAAAUACACCGACAGGUACGUUCAACCCCCAGGUAAACAGAGUAAUGUUUUUAUUGCAGCAUUCACCACAGCACACGCACGACUGAAGCUGUACAGUUAUCUGGAAAAACUACAAGACAGAGUGUUUUACAUCGACACAGAUAGUUUAAUCUAUCUGGUCAAAGAGGGUGAGAAACCUCUAGAGCUGGGUAACUAUUUAGGUGACCUGACGGAUGAACUGGAUGGUGACAGCAUUCAAGAGUUUGCAGCGGCGGGUCCCAAGAGUUACGCGUACCAAACACGAAAUAAAAAGAAAGUCGUCAUGCGUGUGAAAGGUAUCACUCAGACCCGGGAAUUUUGUGAGCGUGUGAGCUUUGACAGUGUCAGAGAGCUGGUGGAGGGUUACCUGAGUAAUAAACAAGAGGGAAACACGAUCGAGAUCCGUCAACACAGCAUCAGACGUGAUAAAAAGGGUUUUGCAUUGAGAAAUGUGUCAUUUGAUAAAAAAUUUAGGGUGGUGUAUGACAAAAGACGACUCUUUGCUGACGGAACAACUCUGCCUUUCGGGUAUUAG